rnacentral:rRNA from 1 species
UACAGAGGGUGCAAACGUUGUUCGGAAUUACUGGGCGUAAAGCGCGUGUAGGCGGCUACGCAAGUCGGAUGUGAAAGCCCACGGCUCAACCGUGGAAGUGCACCCGAUACUAUGUAGCUUGAGUUCUGGAGAGGAAGGCGGAAUGCUUGGUGUAGAGGUGAAAUUCGUAGAUAUCAAGCGGAACACCUGUGGCGAAGGCGGCCUUCUGGACAGUGACUGACGCUGAGACGCGAAAGCGUGGGGAGCAAACAGG